rnacentral:rRNA from 1 species
GUUUCAGCAGCCGCGGUAAUACAGAGGUCCCAAGCGUUGUUCGGAUUCACUGGGCGUAAAGGGUGCGUAGGUGGCCAGGUAAGUUCGGUGUGAAAGCUCGGAGCUCAACUCCGAAAAGUCAUUGAAUACUAUCUGGCUGGAGGGUCGGAGGGGAGACUGGAAUUCUCGGUGUAGCAGUGAAAUGCGUAGAUAUCGAGAGGAACACCAGUGGCGAAGGCGAGUCUCUGGACGACUCCUGACACUGAGGCACGAAAGCUAGGGGAGCAAACAGGAUUAGAUACCCGGGUAGUCC